UACGGAGGGAGCUAGCGUUGUUCGGAAUUACUGGGCGUAAAGCGCGCGUAGGCGGCUGUUCAAGUCAGAGGUGAAAGCCCGGGGCUCAACCCCGGAACUGCCUUUGAAACUAGACAGCUAGAAUCUUGGAGAGGUCAGUGGAAUUCCAGGUGUAGCGGUGAAAUGCGUAGAUAUCGGGAGGAACACCGGUGGCGAAGGCGGCCUUCUGGACGGAUACUGACGCUGAUACGCGAAAGCGUGGGGAGCAAACAGG
rnacentral:rRNA from 1 species